rnacentral:rRNA from 1 species
CUUGUCCUACGGGGGGCAGCAGUGGGGAAUAUUGCACAAUGGGGGGAACCCUGAUGCAGCGACGCCGCGUGGGCGAGGAAGUACUUCGGUAUGUAAAGCCCUAUCGGCAGGGAAGAAGAAAUGACGGUACCUGAAUAAGAAGCACCGGCUAAAUACGUGCCAGCAGCCGCGGUAAUACGUAUGGGGCAAGCGUUAUCCGGAUUUACUGGGCGUAAAGGGAGCGCAGGCGGCGCGCCAAGGCUGGUGUGAAACCCCGGGGCUCAACCCCGGGCACGCAUUGGAAACUGGCGGGCUGGAGUGCCGGG